rnacentral:rRNA from 1 species
AUUCUGGUUGAUCCUGCCAGAGGUUACUGCUAUCGGGGUCCGACUAAGCCAUGCGAGUCGAGAGGGUAAAGCCCUCGGCGUAUUGCUCAGUAACACGCGGAUAACCUGCCCUUGGGUCCGGGAUAACCCCGGGAAACUGGGACUAAUACCGGAUAGAUCAUAGACGCUGGAAUGCCCUAUGAUCCAAAACUCCGGUGCCCAAGGAUGGGUCUGCGGCCUAUCAGGUUGUAGUGGGUGUAACGUACCUACUAGCCUACGACGGGUAAGGGUUGUGAGAGCAAGAUCCCUGAGAUGGAUUCUGAGACAUGAAUCCAGGCCCUACGGGGUGCAGCAGGCGCGAAACCUUUACACUGCGGGAAACCGCGAUAAGGGGACCCCGAGUGCCAGCAUCUAAUGCUGGCUGUCCCGCUGUCCAAACAACAGCGGUUAGCAAGGGCCGGGCAAGACCGGUGCCAGCCGCCGCGGUAACACCGGCGGCCCGAGUGGUAGCCGUUAUUAUUGGGUUUAAAGGGCCCGUAGCCGGCCUAUUAAGUCUCUUGGGAAAUCUGGCGGCUUAAUCGUCAGGCGGCCAAGAGAUACUGGUAGGCUUGGGACCGGGAGAGGUGGGAGGUACUCCAGGGGUAGGGGUGAAAUCUCGUAAUCCU